CNGGAUGCAGCACAAGAUACAGGCCAUAAA
rnacentral:piRNA from 1 species